rnacentral:rRNA from 1 species
AUACGGAGGGUGCAAGCGUUAUUCGGAAUCACUGGGCGUAAAGGGUGCGUAGGCGGUUUGAUAAGUCUGAUGUGAAAUCCUAUGGCUCAACCAUAGAACUGCAUUGGAAACUGUCAGACUAGAAUACUGAAGGGGCAGAUGGAAUAAGUGGUGUAGGGGUAAAAUCCGUAGAUAUCACUAGGAAUACCGAAAGCGAAAGCGAUCUGCUGGGAAGUUAUUGACGCUGAGGCACGAAAGCGUGGGGAGCAAACGGGAUUAGAAACCCGAGUAGUCC